CAAAAAAAAAAAAAAAAACCCAAAAAUCUGCAAAAGGAGACGGCGGCAACACCCUUUUCUAAUUUGGAUCUUCCCAAAAAGAGAUACCAAAUCUCAAAAAGAACACCUGACUCCUUCACAAACUUUGAAUCCAAUUAAAACAAAAGAGCUUCUGCCAUCUCAACCCUCCAUCAACAACCACAAGAAUGGAAAGUUAGCAGCAUGAUUUCAAAAAAAAAAAUUAAAAAGGGGGUGAUACGUUUAUGCUCCUUCCUUCUCGAUUUCAGUUUGGUUUCAGAAAUAGAGUUUGGUUGAAGUUUCUGUCAGAUUUUCGAGGUCGUAUUUGGGUCCGGAUCGUCGGUCCUCUUGUUUUGAUCCGAUUUCCUUCUCAACAGUAAGAUCCCGGUGUUGCUCCCAGCAGCGUUCAGAGGUGAUAGCUCGGACCUUCUCAUGAGACUUGAGGUAGUGCUACUUGGCGUCCGCAGACCCUGGGGUCCCCUUCCUAUCCGUUCUUUUGUUUAUCUUUUAUUAGGCGGUUUUGUAUUUCCUUUUAGACUUUAUAUGUAGUAUUCUAGUGGCUCAUGUACUUGUAACACCAGAUUCUGGGAAUAGUCUUAGACAACGAUAGUUAUGAAUUUAUUAUACAUUUCAUGAGA